rnacentral:rRNA from 1 species
UACGUAGGGGGGCAAGCGUUGUCCGGAAUCAUUGGGCGUAAAGAGCGCGUAGGCGGUCCGGUAAGUCCGCUGUGAAAGUCAAGGGCUCAACCCUUGGAAUGCCGGUGGAUACUGUCGGGCUAGAGUCCGGAAGAGGCGAGUGGAAUUCCUGGUGGUAGCGGUGAAAUGCGCAGAUAUCAGGAGGAACACCAAUGGCGAAGGCAGCUCGCU